GGGCACAGUAUAUACACGGGAAACAAACCCGACCACUCUGCACGAGCGAGGGGCGGCUUCGUGGCACGACCGGUCGCCUGCGUUGCGCCGGUCAUGGGCAGCGGCAGGGCCAGCCGAUGGCUGCGGGUCAAGCCGACCGCGGUAGCGGCUUAUCUUUGGGAGAGGAGGAGAGGGGAGAAAAAGGAGAGGCCUGGCGGCGACUGAGGAGGUGCUACGCGCCGCCACCUCCACCUCGACGCGCCGCCAGAUCUCCACCUCGACGCGCCACCGGUCAUCUGCAUCCACGCGCCACCGGAAACUCCGCCUUGAACUUCGGUUUUUGUGGUGUUUCCCUCCAGUUUGUCAUGAACCACAGAAGGACGCACAGGAGCAGCAUCUGGCAUUCAGAGCCUGACAGGUUUCAUGGUUGCACACAAGCGAUGGGUCAAAGGAGCCUGCGAAAUAUGUAACUAAGUGUUGUUUCUUUCUGCCAAAUCAUUUAUUCUUAAUUUCCUCAUUUCAUAUUCUCAUAAAUCAUCCUCUGAUGUUGAUUGCAAAUAGAAACAUGUUUUACAGUCUUUUAGAUUUCGGUCAUCAGAGGGAAUUUGGAUUCUUUCUCUAUCACCACACAUAGAAAUGUAUGUCAGUGCUAAUUAAAAAUGUGUAGGAAAUUGAGUUUUCUUUUAUCUGUACUGCAUUAUCAGUCUACGGCAGGGCGUCAUGGAGAAGCCAAGUUUAACCGAGAUUUCAAAAUUUUGUGGCCUUCGUUAAAUUAAAAAAAAGGUGAUUCUAUUUCUUGAAGCUCCCGACUGCUCAUGUACUAUUUCACAUUGCCAUCUUCCAUUACAAUUUCGUUCACGGUAACAUUGAGAAUCCUACAACAUUAGUGGUGUGAGAUAUUUUGUAAGUGUUAUAGUGAUGUGCAUUUUUGUAGGUUUGUAGUUUUGUGACUCCAUUUGGUUUUAUAAGUGUGAUUCACCAAUACAAUUCGAAUGUGAAUUGCUUGCAGUUUUGUAUAAGACUAUUUGGUUUGUCCUGCUAACUCCGCCACACCUCAGUUUUGGUCCUAGGUAAGCCGCUGCGUGUAUGACGGCCUAAGAUGCCAUGGCCGGCGUGGUGUGAUGGUGGUUUACAGCGGAUCAAGAUUGUUGGCAAGGACUUCCCACUGAGUAUGAGAGGCCGGUGACCAUCCGUCCAUGAUUCUUCCUCGGUAUGCCACUCUGAGGAUGUCGAGGCCUUCCCAAUGAGUAUUUCAGUUCCCGAAGUCUCUCUUUCUGAUGGCAAGACUGUCCCUUCAAACGCCAUGAGUCAAGUCUAGGAUAUGUCAGCAUGAUGCUUCCACUCCCAACAUGAGACCAGAUUCUUUUAAUUUCGGGGACUGGUGAAGCACAAACAUGCGACAUGGCUUGGAGUAGACACCAACUCCAUGGUUCCAUUCUGCAAGAUGUGGCUUGGAUUACCGUGCUGCUGAGAACAGUGGCUGCGCUUGGUUUUGAAAUUGGGAAGGUUUAAUUCAAGAUUUUUAUAUCUUCCCCCUGUUUUUGUAUGGACAAUGUGUGUGCUGUUUAUAAAAUGUUUAGUUAUGUUUGGCUGAUGAGUAUAAACUCUUUUCUCUGCAUGUUUACCAUGAAUGAUGAAACACACAUCAGUUGGCUCACUUGAGUUCCUGUGCUAACUGAUAA